rnacentral:rRNA from 1 species
UUCCGGUUGAUCCCGCCGGACCUGACUGCUAUCGGAUUGAUACUAAGCCAUGCGAGUCUUUGCAGUAAUGCAAGGCAUACGGCUCAGUAACACGUAGUCAACUUACCCUAUGGACGAGGAUAAUCUCGGGAAACUGAGCAUAAUACUCGAUAGAUCAUAAUGCCUGGAAUGGUUUAUGGUUGAAAUGAUUCGUCGCCAUAGGAUGGGACUGCGGCCUAUCAGCUUGUUGGUGAGGUAAUGGCCCACCAAGGCGAUUACAGGUACGGGCUCUGAGAGGAGAAGCCCGGAGAUGGGUACUGAGACAAGGACCCAGGCCCUAUGGGGCGCAGCAGGCGAGAAAACUUUGCAAUGUGCGAAAGCACGACAAGGUUAAUCCGAGUGAUUUCUGCUAAAGAAAUCUUUUGCAAGUCAUAAAACCACUAGUGAAUAAGGGGUGGGCAAGUUCUGGUGUCAGCCGCCGCGGUAAAACCAGCACCUCAAGUGGUCAGGAUGAUUAUUGGGCCUAAAGCAUCCGUAGCCGGCUCUGUAAGUUUUCGGUUAAAUCUAUGCGCUCAACGUAUGGGCUGCCGAAAAUACUGUAGAGAUAGGGAGUGGGAGAGGUAGACGGUACUCGGUAGGAAGGGGUAAAAUCCUUUGAUCUAUCGAUGACCACCUGUGGCGAAGGCGGUCUACCAGAACACGUUCGACGGUGAGGGAUGAAAGCUGGGGGAGCAAACCGGAUUAGAUACCCGGGUAGUCCCAGCUGUAAACGAUGCAGACUCGAUGAUGCAUUGGCAUAUAGCCAGUGCAGUGUCGCAGGGAAGCCGUUAAGUCUGCCGCCUGGGAAGUACGUACGCAAGUAUGAAACUUAAAGGAAUUGGCGGGGGAGCACCACAAGGGGUGAAGCCUGCGGUUCAAUUGGAGUCAACGCCGGG